AUUGAACGCUAGCUACAGGCUUAACACAUGCAAGUCGAGGGGUAGCAGGGUAGCAAUACCGCUGACGACCGGCGCACGGGUGAGUAACACGUAUCCAACCUUCCCAUCACUCGGGGAUAGCCUUUCGAAAGAAAGAUUAAUACCCGAUAGUACUUUUUUGAGGCAUCUUGAGAAAGUUAAAGAUUUAUUGGUUAUGGAUGGGGAUGCGUUCCAUUAGAUUGUUGGCGGGGUAACGGCCCACCAAGUCUACGAUGGAUAGGGGUUCUGAGAGGAAGGUCCCCCACAUUGGAACUGAGACACGGUCCAAACUCCUACGGGAGGCAGCAGUGAGGAAUAUUGGUCAAUGGACGAGAGUCUGAACCAGCCAAGUAGCGUGAAGGAUGACUGCCCUAUGGGUUGUAAACUUCUUUUAAUAAGGGAAUAAAGUGAGGGACGUGUCCCUUUUUGUAUGUACCUUAUGAAUAAGGAUCGGCUAACUCCGUG
rnacentral:rRNA from 1 species